rnacentral:rRNA from 1 species
AGGACGAACGCUGGCGGCGUGCUUAACACAUGCAAGUCGAGCGGAAAGGCCCUUCGGGGUACUCGAGCGGCGAACGGGUGAGUAACACGUGAGUAAUCUGCCCCUAGCUCUGGGAUAGCUCCGGGAAACCGGGAUUAAUACCGGAUACGACCACCUUAGACAUCUUUUGUGGUGGAAAGAAUUUCGGCUAGGGAUGAGCUCGCGGCCUAUCAGCUUGUUGGUGGGGUAACGGCCUACCAAGGCGACGACGGGUAGCCGGCCUGAGAGGGCGACCGGCCACACUGGGACUGAGACACGGCCCAGACUCCUACGGGAGGCAGCAGUGGGAAUAUUGCGCAAUGGGCGAAAGCCUGACGCAGCGACGCCGCGUGCGGGAUGAAGGCCUUCGGGUUGUAAACCGCUUUCAGCAGGGACGAAGCGAAAGUGACGGUACCUGCAGAAGAAGCGCCGGCUAACUACGCGCCAGCAGCCGC